AACUAUAUACGCUUAAUUGAGAAUGGGCCA
rnacentral:piRNA from 1 species